CUGAUUCGAAAAAUUCAAGAAAAGAUUUUGUGCGAAAGUAUGUUAUUGAAGUUACCGGGGAGCAAUAUUUAAGAUGUAAAUUUUGCAAUCAAAGAUGCACGGGAGGGGUGAAUAGACUCAAGCAUCACUUAGCCGAAACUCAUCAUGGUAUGAAACCAUGCAACAAGGUUAGUGAAGAUGCUAGAUUGGAAUGUAAAGAGGCAUUGACCAAUUUUAAGGAUCAAAAAACGAAAAGAAAUGAAUUGCUCCAAGAAAUUUGUAUGGGUCCAACUUCAAUGCAUAAGAGUGCCUUGUCUAAAACAAUAGGGACAUUAGGGAGUGGGAGUGGGAGUGGGGAACCUAUUCCUAGGGGACCCAUGGAUAAAUUUACCACUUCACAACCUAGACAAACUACUUUGAAUUCAAAGUGGAAGCAAGAAGAAAGGAAGGAAGUGUGUAGAAAAAUUGGUAGAUUCAUGUAUUCAAAAGGUCUCCCAUUCAACACUGUGAAUGAUCCUUAUUGGUUUCCUAUGAUAGAUGUUGUUGCAAAUUUUGGGCCCGGGUUUAAGCCUCCAUCUAUGCAUGAAUUGAGGACAUGGAUUCUUAAAGAAGAGGUGAAUGACCUAAGUAUCAUUAUGGAAGAUCACAAAAAAGCUUGGAAACAAUAUGGAUGUUCAAUUAUGUCGGAUGGUUGGACAGAUGGAAAGAGUAGGUGUCUUAUCAAUUUUUUGGUGAAUAGUCCUGCUGGCACUUGGUUUAUGAAAUCAAUUGAUGCUUCUGAUACAAUAAAAAAUGGGGAUUUAAUGUUCAAAUAUCUUGAUGAGGUGGUUGAAGAAAUUGGAGAGGAGAAUGUUGUGCAAGUCAUCACUGAUAAUGCCUCUAAUUAUGUGAAUGAUGGAAUGAGGCUUAUGGAAAAAAGGAGAAAAUUGUGGUGGACUCCUUGUGCUGCUCAUUAUAUUGAUUUGAUGUUGGAGGAUAUUGGAAAGCUAAAUGUUCAUGCCACUACACUAUCUCGAGCUAGGCAAGUAGUGAAGUUCAUAUAUGGGCAUACUUGGGUUCUUAGCUUGAUGAGAACAUUUACAAAAAAUCAUGAACUUCUUCGUCCAGCAAUUACACGAUUUGCUACUGCAUUUCUUACUCUCCAAAGUCUUUAUAAGCAAAAGCAAGCUCUUAUAGCAAUGUUCUCAUCAGAAAAAUGGUGUUCAAGCACAUGGGCUAAAAAGAUAGAAGGUGUGAAAACUCGAAGUACGGUGUUGUUUGAUCCAAAUUUUUGGCCUCAUGUUGCUUUUUGCAUAAAGACCAUUGUUCCAUUAGUUAGUGUCUUGAGAGAGGUUGAUUCAGAGGAAAGACCAGCCAUGGGUUAUAUUUAUGAGUUGAUGGAUUCAGCUAAGGAGAAGAUUGCAUUUAAUUGUCGGGGUGUGGAGAGAAAAUAUGGCCCAAUUUGGAGAAAAAUUGAUGCAAGAUGGACUCCGCAACUUCAUCGACCUUUACAUGCAGCAGGUUAUUAUCCUAAUCCUCAAUUGCAGUAUGGAGAUAAGUUCUCUAAUGCUGAUAAGGUGAGGAAGGGAUUAUUUGAAUGCAUGGAUAGGAUGUUGGAUUAUCAAGAACGUUUAAAAGCUGACAUUCAGUUGGACUCAUGACCAAGCAAUGGGUGAAUUUGGGAGUCGUAUUGCAAUUGAUUCUCGAACAUUAAGAAGUCCUACAAGUUGGUGGAUGCGUUUUGGAGGUUCAACACCGGAGUUGCAAAAGUUUGCUAUUCGAGUCCUUAGCCUUACUUGUAGUGCUUCGAGAUGUGAAAGAAAUUGGAGCACAUUUGAGUCGAUCCAUACAAAAAAAAGAAAUAGACUUGAACAUCAAAGGUUGAAUGCUCUAGUGUAUGUAAGAUACAACACUAGAUUGAGAGAGCGAAGUCUACAAAGGAAACAAAAUGUUGAUCCGAUUUUGGUAGAGGAGAUUAAUUCGGAUGAUGAAUGGAUUGCGGAGAAAGAAGAUCCCCUCCUCCUCCUUGAUCUUUGUUGGCUUCAAGAUAAUGAGUUAUUUAGUAUUGAUGCCAUUAGAGCUGUCAUCCAACUCCCAAGAGACUGAAACAUCAUCGGAUCACAUGGUUUCUUCACAUUCCUACAAAAGGAAACAUAAUGAAGGACCAAGUACAAGUGGAGGCAAAGGCAAAGAGAAGGAGUUGAAUUUGACACCAAUUGAUGAAGAUGAAGAUUUACAUGAAAUGGGGAUACAUGAUAGUGGACAUUUUCCUACUAUUGAUACAUUGGAUGAGGAUGAUGAUGACCUUGAGGAUGAGGAUUUAAGUUGAAACAAUUGACUCUAGUUAUUAUUUUAUGACUUAGUUAUGGAUUUUUGUAAAAGUUUAGAACUAUUAUUAUGGUUGACUCUAUUUUCCAUUUCAUGACUUA